UUGUCAGGAGAUUUUCCUCUCGAGGCAGCAGAGGUGGCUGCUGGGAAGACAGGACACGUGGAGGGAGCUGGGGCUCUUGGAGCCGGGCACAGGCUGAGCGCCGGGCGCCGGGCCCAGGGGACAGGGUGGAAGCUCUGGAGGAGUAGCCGCCUGCCUAAAUAACGCUGCCUCUCCUUGGUGCGACUGGUUUUACUCUGUCUUCUAGAUGUGAUAGGCAAGAUGACCGGCCUCGCUGAGGGAUCACUCCAGCCACGAGAAUCGUGUCUUCCAUUCAUCCGGGAGUGACCAUCUUGUUACUCACGUGAGGGUCGUCCAUUCACAGACAACCGCCCCUCAACAAUCGUUUACGUGGAAAUAAAAGCUCCUUCUGAAUUUGUUGUAGCCUAAGCAGUUUGAGGAGUGCCCCAGUUCAGAGCACCAUAAUUAAGAAUUGUGAAAAGUAUCAAAAUGGAAAACUGGUGCAGCUCCCUAUCCAGUUAAAAUCUUAUUUAAGUACUGUGGCACGAGGUGUGAUCGUAUCCAUUUCACUAAUAUAUAUUGAACGUCCAACAUGUGCCAGCACGGGAAUGCCAUAAUAUCUAAGACUGGAACGGACCCUGUCUUCAUGAAGCUCACGGUUGUGGAAACAAAAGUGAGACUGCCCUGCUGCCAUUUUAAGAGUGUACAUCAAGUCCCACAGGAGGAAGAAUACUACUAAUAAUAAGACACUUUCAACCCUAAGACAAAGUAUCCGAACUACUUUUUUAAAUCUGCUGUCUAGAAUGAAUGAAAUCUUGAGUUUUUCCCAUCAGUUACUGAUUCCCUAAUGAAAACUAUUUUAUCCCUGACUUUUGAAUACAGAAAUUUGGGAAUAUGUCAUUUGUGACAUAUCUUCCCAUGUGAGCAUACUGUCUAUGCUGAAGAGAUAAAUGUAAACAUGGUAAUCUUUACAUUUUUCCUUUAAAUAUCUGUGGUAUUUCUUAUUCAGUGGUCCAGUCCUACUGAAGUCAGCACGUCUUUGCAAGUAAACUUAUCUUUUCUAAA